CUACAGCUUAUAACUCAAUUCAACUGAAUAAAAAGUACUCCUACCUCAAUACAAGAUUAUUUGUAUCCUCCUGCAAUUUGUUUACAACACUCAAAAGCUGCUUCCCCCAAUUAUAUUAACCAAAAAGUAAGUAAACACAGAGCCUCAUUUUGCUGUAAUGAUGCACAUAAUUUAGACUAACCCUGGAGUACUAAUUAAUGAUACAACGCUACAGGCACAGAUCAAAACAGUGUUUCAUCCAUAACCCGGAAAUCUUCAUCUAGCCCCUAAUGAUACAUCAUAAUUUACAUGUAAACAGAAACAUAAUCAUCCUUAAG
rnacentral:misc_RNA from 1 species